rnacentral:rRNA from 1 species
CCCUACGGCCAUAUCACCCUGUAUGUGCCAGAUCUCGUCUGAUCUCGGAAGCUAAGCAGGGUUGGGCUUGGUUACUACUUGGAUGGGAGACUGCCUGGGAAUACCAGGUGCUG